UACCUGGUUGAUCCUGCCAGUAGUGUAUGCUUCUCCUAAAGACUAAGCCAUGCAUGCCUUCGAAUAAGAGGAAGCAAGUCUCUCUGAAUCUGCGAACGGCUCCGCUAACCAGUUGUAAACUAUAGCAAGCAAUCCUGUGGUUGGUCUUCGGCUCGGCCAUGGGUAACAUGGAUAACCCUGGUAAUUCUGAGGCUAAUACAAGAACGUACAACCUGGCUAACCGGCAACGGAAGGCUGGGGAACGUGCAACGUAUCGUAAUGGAUACCGGGAAAGGGUGCACGUUUGGACCGCGCUAAAGACAGUCCUUGGUAAGCCCUUGCGGGCAAGCCUUGGCCUGAGCGGCUCUUGCGGUGUGCUUCUGACCUAUCAACUAGACGGCAGCGUAAGGGACAUGCUAUGGUUACAACGGGUACAGAGGAUAAGGGUUCGAUCCUGGAGAGUGGGCCUGAGAGAUUGCUCAUACUUCUAAGGAAGGCAGCAGGCGCGCAACGUUCCCCUUGGGCAAUGCUCGAGGGCGUUAGGGGACAUAUGAAUGCCUGCCAUAUUGGUGGGCAAUUCAAAUGGGUUUGUUCUAAACAGCCUUUCGAGUAACAAUUAGAGGACAAGUCUGGUGCCAGCACCCGCGGUAAUUCCAGCUCUAAUGCGACGUUAGUUGUUGCGGUUAAAACGCUCGUAGUCGGCUUCAGACCGUCACGAUUCCGGAACGGGCCGGCCGGUAGUUGCCUCAAGGCGCUCUGGUUGGUCUGUGACGGCUGACGGCGGUCAAACGCGCCUCAGGCUGUCCUUCGGGUCACAGGGCCGGGUUCGCCCGGCUCGGCUUGGGGUGCCACUUACCAUGACUAAACCGGACCGAUUCAGAGAGGUCUCUCGAUCUUGUACGGCACAGCAUGGGAUAACUACAACCGGUCCGGGACUUCUUGCGGGUCCCGGGUUGGUAAAAGCAAAAGGGGUGUUCGAGGGGGACCGAAUUGCCGGGCGAGUGGUGAAAUACGUUGACCCUGGCAAGUCGACCAAAGGCGAAAGCAGUCCUCAAGGGCAUUCCCGUUGAUCAAGAGCGAAAGUUAAGGGUUCGAAGACGAUCAGAUACCGUCGUAGUCUUAACUAUAAAUGAUACUGACCAGAGAUAGGAUUCUGUCCAUCUCGACUUCUCCUGGAUCUUAGGGAAACUAUAGUCUUUGAGUUCUGGGGGGAGUAUGGUCGCAAGGCUGAAACUUAAAGGAAUUGACGGAAGGGCACACAAAGAGUGGAACCUGCGGCUUAAUUUGACUCAACACGGGAAAACUCACCAGGUCCAGAUACACGUAUGAAAGACAAGCUGAAAGACUUUUCUCAAUGAUGUAAGUGGUGGUGCAUGGUCGUUCGUAGUUCGUGGAUUGAUUUGUCUGGUCUAUUCCGAUAACGAGCGAGACCCCGGCGUUCCUAAUAGGGGCGACAGCCCGGCUUGCCUCACGGCUUGCUAGCAGUCGCUUAAGAUUUACUUCUUAGACGUAUCAGAGCCGAUUAGUUUCUUUGAAUGGGUUAAUAACAGGUCAGUCAUGGCAUUAGAUGUUCUGCCGCACGCGCGCUACAAUGGCAUGAAUAGGAAGUGCCCCAAAGGGCGUAUCCGGGGCCUAACUGUGUCGGUAACCCUUAAUCCCUGCCUUGACUGGGAUAGAAUAUUGCAAUUAAUGGUCUUCAACGAGGAAUUUUUAGUAGUUGCAGGUCAUUAACAUGCCACGAAUGCGUCCCUGUCCUUUGUACACACCGCCCGUCGCUGCUACCGACUGAGUUUUGCGGUUACGCGUUCCGAGAUCGGGUGUCCUGCCUGCCUUCGGGUAGGUAGUACCUUGAGAUAAGUUCUAAUUACCGCACGGUCUAGAGGAAGCAGAAGUGA
rnacentral:rRNA from 1 species